rnacentral:rRNA from 1 species
UUUAAAGAGAGUUUGAUCCUGGCUCAGGACGAACGCUGGCGGCGUGCCUAAUACAUGCAAGUCGAACGAACGGAGGAAGAGCUUGCUCUUCCAAAGUUAGUGGCGGACGGGUGAGUAACACGUGGGCAACCUGCCUGUAAGUUGGGGAUAACUCCGGGAAACCGGGGCUAAUACCGAAUAAUAAGAUGUGGCGCAUGCCACGUCUUUGAAAGAUGGUUUCGGCUAUCACUUACAGAUGGGCCCGCGGUGCAUUAGCUAGUUGGUAGGGUAAUGGCCUACC